rnacentral:rRNA from 1 species
UACGUAGGGGGCAAGCGUUGUCCGGAUUUAUUGGGCGUAAAGAGCGUGUAGGCGGCCAGGUAGGUCCGUUGUGAAAACUCGAGGCUCAACCUCGAGACGCCGGUUGAAACCAUCUGGCUAGAGUCCGGAAGAGGAGAGUGGAAUUCCUGGUGUAGCGGUGAAAUGCGCAGAUAUCAGGAAGAACACCCGUGGCUAAGGCGGCUCUCUAGUACGGUACUGACGCUGAGACGCGAAAGCGUGGGGAGCGAACAGG